GAGAGGGUGGCGUUGUAGGGCUCCACCACCGUGUCAGACACCUGGAUGAGGGGUCAGGCCAUUGGUCAUCA
rnacentral:miRNA from 10 species